AUUAUAGAAUGCACGAAACAAUCGUAAAAUCGGCUUACUUUCUGCUACUUGCGAGCAAACACGACGGUGGCUGCGCAAGGGGAAACAUUUAUCUGAUAUAUAACACGUUUAUAAGUUCCGCGGAGACGAGAGAGGCAACAUGAAACUCAAGCUAAAGUACUCAGCUUGAUAGGCAAUGAAGUGUAAGUGGAUAUGUUUCGUCGUCUGCUAAAACGCGAUGAUAUCGGGAUUCUCUUCUACAGGCCGGUGAAAAUAAAUGG
rnacentral:misc_RNA from 1 species